rnacentral:rRNA from 1 species
GCAGUCGAGCGACGGACGAGAAGCUUGCUUCUCUGAUGUUAGCGGCGGACGGGUGAGUAACACGUGGAUAACCUACCUAUAAGACUGGGAUAACUUCGGGAAACCGGAGCUAAUACCGGAUAAUAUUUUGAACCGCAUGGUUCAAAAGUGAAAGACGGUCUUGCUGUCACUUAUAGAUGGAUCCGCGCUGCAUUAGCUAGUUGGUAAGGUAACGGCUUACCAAGGCAACGAUGCAUAGCCGACCUGAGAGGGUGAUCGGCCACACUGGAACUGAGACACGGUCCAGACUCCUACGGGAGGCAGCAGUAGGGAAUCUUCCGCAAUGGGCGAAAGCCUGACGGAGCAACGCCGCGUGAGUGAUGAAGGUCUUCGGAUCGUAAAACUCUGUUAUUAGGGAAGAACAUAUGUGUAAGUAACUGUGCACAUCUUGACGGUACCUAAUCAGAAAGCCACGGCUAACUACGUGCCAGCAGCCGCGGUAAUACGUAGGUGGCAAGCGUUAUCCGGAAUUAUUGGGCGUAAAGCGCGCGUAGGCGGUUUUUUAAGUCUGAUGUGAAAGCCCACGGCUCAACCGUGGAGGGUCAUUGGAAACUGGAAAACUUGAGUGCAGAAGAGGAAAGUGGAAUUCCAUGUGUAGCGGUGAAAUGCGCAGAGAUAUGGAGGAACACCAGUGGCGAAGGCGACUUUCUGGUCUGUAACUGACGCUGAUGUGCGAAAGCGUGGGGAUCAAACAGGAUUAGAUACCCUGGUAGUCCACGCCGUAAACGAUGAGUGCUAAGUGUUAGGGGGUUUCCGCCCCUUAGUGCUGCAGCUAACGCAUUAAGCACUCCGCCUGGGGAGUACGACCGCAAGGUUGAAACUCAAAGGAAUUGACGGGGACCCGCACAAGCGGUGGAGCAUGUGGUUUAAUUCGAAGCAACGCGAAGAACCUUACCAAAUCUUGACAUCCUUUGACAACUCUAGAGAUAGAGCUUUCCCCUUCGGGGGACAAAGUGACAGGUGGUGCAUGGUUGUCGUCAGCUCGUGUCGUGAGAUGUUGGGUUAAGUCCCGCAACGAGCGCAACCCUUAAGCUUAGUUGCCAUCAUUAAGUUGGGCACUCUAAGUUGACUGCCGGUGACAAACCGGAGGAAGGUGGGGAUGACGUCAAAUCAUCAUGCCCCUUAUGAUUUGGGCUACACACGUGCUACAAUGGACAAUACAAAGGGCAGCGAAACCGCGAGGUCAAGCAAAUCCCAUAAAGUUGUUCUCAGUUCGGAUUGUAGUCUGCAACUCGACUACAUGAAGCUGGAAUCGCUAGUAAUCGUAGAUCAGCAUGCUACGGUGAAUACGUUCCCGGGUCUUGUACACACCGCCCGUCACACCACGAGAGUUUGUAACACCCGAAGCCGGUGGAGUAAC